CUUUGGUGGCUUAGUUCUUUGUGC
rnacentral:miRNA from 1 species